GUCUUGGGUUUAUUUCCUAAUAUAAAGGCUAAUUAAUUUGAGUUUUAUGAAUUUCCUCUACUGAUCUUACUCGUCAAAUAAGCUAAUUCAGAUGAGAUUAUAAAAUAUUAAAAUUAUGUGUCAAACUAAGUUAAAUUAUAAUACAUAAUUCUUUAUAAAAGGGAUUAUUCAAGGCUUUAAAUCAUACAGAUUUAAUGUGUCAACAUAGAUUGUAAUUUCCACGUCCUUAGUUUUAAGACCUUAAGCUGAUGUUAAAUUGAGUUAACUGUGAAUUAUCUUCAUAUACCUGAAUUUUUUUUUCAUACAGAAUCUUGCUGUUGCCCAGACUGGAGUGCAGCAUCAUGAUCUCAGCUCACUGCAACUGCUGCCUCCUGGGUUCAAGCGAUUCUCCUGCCUCAGCCUCCCGAGUAGCCGGGACUAUAGAUCUGCACCACCACACCCAGCUAAUUUUUGUAUUUUAGUAGAGACGGGUUUUUGCCAUGUUGGCCAGGCAGGUCUUGAACUCCUGGCCUCAAGUGAUCCAUUCCCCCUUGGCCUCCCAAAAUUCUGGGAUUACAGGCAUGAGCCACUGCGCCCGGCCCCUGGAAAAUUUUCAAGUAAGAUAAAGAUAUAAAACAUUGGUCACUAAACAUCAUUUUAAUUUAUAUUUGUCUCAUAUUUUUACAAAAAUUACAGAAUGGGCCAGGUGCAGUGUCUAAUACUUCAUAGGGCUCUUGAGAGGACUGAGACGACACGUGUAAGCCCUCAAUAUGUAUUUGCUGUUGGCGUUUUGUUGUUGUUGUUUCUUUCAGACAGACUCACUUUGUCACCCAGGUUGGAGUACAGUGUCACUGUCUUGGCCCACUGCAACCUCCACUUCCCAGGUUCAAGUGAUUCUCCUACCUCAGCCUUCCAAGUAGCUGGAACUACAGAUGAAAACAGCAACUUUUCAAGAUCCCCUCUCAAAUGCUGCCUGGGGAUUCUCUUUGGAAUUGCAUAAAAUUUAUACAUUAUUUUGAGAAAUGUUAACAGCUUUUUUAGAGUAAAUCUUUCCGUCUAGAAACAUGGUAUGUAUCUGCGUUCAGCUCUUGUUUUAUGUCCUUCAGUAAAAUUGCAAAGCUUUUUUCACAUAAGUGUUCUGCCUUUCUUGCUUAAUUUAGCCUUGGGUAAUUUAUAGAUUUGUUGCUGCUGUAAAUUUUUUAAAUUUCUAUUUCUAAUGGGGAUGCUAUUAUAAAGAAAAGCUAUUGAUCUUUUACUAUUCACCUUGUAGCUAGAGAUCAUUCUAAAUUGCCUUUUUAUAUGUAAUAGUUUUUUUUUUUUAAUCUGAGUCUCUUGAAUUUUCAAUUAUUGGACAGUCAUAGGUGAUUGGUCAUUGUUUUCCUUCCAGAGUCCUUCCAGAGUUGGAAAUAGACCCAUGUACAAAUGGGAGACAAAUGUAUGAUAAUUGGGGCACUUACAGUCAGAGGAAAGGAUGGCUCCUUGAAUGAAAAUGGCAUUGGGACAACUGGAUCUCCAUUUUAUUUUUUAUUUUUUAUUUUUUUUUUUUUGAGACGGAGUCUCGCUCUGUCACCCAGGCUGGAGUGCAGUGGCCAGAUCUCAGCUCACUGCAAGCUCCACCUCCCGGGUUUAGCCAUUCUCCUGGCUCAGCCUCCCGAGUAGCUGGGACUACAGGCGCCCGCCACUUCGCCCAGCUAGUUUUUUGUAUUUUUUAGUAGAGACGGGGUUUCACCAUGUUAGCCAGGAUGGUCUCGAUCUCCUGACCUCGUGAUCCGCCCGUCUCGGCCUCCCAAAGUGCUGGGGUUACAGGCUUGAGCCACCGUGCCCGGCCUGGAUCUCCAUUUUAAAAAAUAUAUAAAGUAGGCUGGGUGCAGUGGCGCCUGUAAUCCCAGCACUUUGGGAAGCCAUGGCAGGUGGAUCACCUGAGGUCAGGAGUUUGAGACCAGCCUUAGCAACAUGGUGAAACCCUGUAUCUACUAAAAAUACAAAAAUAAUAGCCUGGCAUGGUGGUGUGCACCUGUCCCAGCUACUCGGGAGGCUUAGGCAUGGAUGACUUGAACCUGGGAGGCGAAGGUUGCAGUGAGCCGAGAUCAUGCCACUGCACUCCAGCCUGGGCAACACAGCAAGACUCUGUCUCAAAAUAAAUAAAAUAAAAUAAAAUAAAAUUAAAUUAAAAAUAAAGUUAUGACUAUAUUGUACAGCAGAUGCAAAAACAUUUUCAGAUGAAUUAAAGGUCUAAAUUUAAAAACAAAAGGCCAAACAAUUAGAACUAAUCAAGGAAAUAUCUGCCUUUGGCCAGUCACAUAGUCAGCACUUGUCGGGAGGUCAGCCCGUGUUUGCUCAUCCUGCCUGUCUGCAACAUUUCAUAAACCCCUGACUCCGUGACUGUGUGCAGCCCUCCAGAAGAAUACCUUGGAGACGAUAAGCAGGACAGAGCACAGGUUCCCACAUCUCUUGCUUGAAUCACUGCAUUUUUUAAAAAAGAUAAGUUCAAUAAUCCUAGCGCUUGUACGUAAGAUAACAUCUGACGGGAUUAAUGAUUAUGCCUCUGUCAUCUAUAACCAGAUGUACUCUUGCACCCAAACUUUGCUGAGACGUUGCUGUAAUGUAACUUCUGAGCACAUUUGACUUCACUUGUGAGCACAUGUAGAACCUCUACCACUUGAUAUAUAAGCUGCGAACUGAAAUAUGGCUUUGAGCAGCCUAGCAGAAACUCUGCAAGAC
rnacentral:lncRNA from 1 species